ACCAGUUUGAAUGGUAAAAGAGGAAAUCAGAUGUGUCGGUAUUACUGUUGAGUAACGGAAACUAUAGGGGCAUGAGGUAGGAGCUGGCUAAAGUUGAUUGGAAAGGGACCGUACCAAGAAUGACAGUGGAGCAGCAAUGGCAAUAGUAUCUUGGAAUAAUUUGGAAGACGCAAGAUCUUUUCAUCCCAAAGAGGACGAAAGAUUCUAAGUGAAGAAUGAGGUGACCGUGGUUGACAAAG